rnacentral:rRNA from 1 species
CCUACGGGAGGCAGCAGUGGGGAAUUUUGGACAAUGGGCGCAAGCCUGAUCCAGCAAUGCCGCGUGCAGGAUGAAGGCCUUCGGGUUGUAAACUGCUUUUGUACGGAACGAAAAAGUCUGCCCUAAUACGGUGGGCCCAUGACGGUACCGUAAGAAUAAGCACCGGCUAACUACGUGCCAGCAGCCGCGGUAAUACGUAGGGUGCGAGCGUUAAUCGGAAUUACUGGGCGUAAAGCGUGCGCAGGCGGUUAUAUAAGACAGAUGUGAAAUCCCCGGGCUCAACCUGGGACCUGCAUUUGUGACUGUAUAGCUAGAGUACGGUAGGGGGGGAGUGGAAUUCCGCGUGUAGCAGUGAAAUGCGUAGAUAUGCGGAGGAACACCGAUGGCGAAGGCAAUCCCCUGGACCUGUACUGACGCUCAUGCACGAAAGCGUGGGGAGCAAACAGGAUUAGAUACCCUGGUAGUCCACGCCCUAAACGAUGUCAACUGGUUGUUGGGUCUUCACUGACUCAGUAACGAAGCUAACGCGUGAAGUUGACCGCCUGGGGAUACGGCGCAAGGUUGAAACUUAAGGAAUUGACGG